rnacentral:SRP_RNA from 1 species
AGCUGGGCCCUGUGCAACGACAACCUGCGAACCCCGUCAGGCCCGGAAGGGAGCAGCGGUAAGUGGGAGCUGUCGUGUGUUGCAGGUAGCCUGGCUGCC